AUGGUUUUCUGGCUUCAGAGUUUUCUCAUACGUGAGAUCACCCAUAGCUUGCCUUGAGGAUCCGGCUUAGUAUCCUAGAGAUACGAUGGAGUUUAAUCAAGUGGAUUCGUGCAUCUCUUCAUCCAAACUCAGAUUCUAGAGGCAGGGAAAAGAAACAAAGGACUAUCACAGGGGCAGUCCUCAUCAGUAGAGUCAAACAAUGGUUCUUCUGGGGUUGCUGUAGGAUCAGGUCUUCCUCCAAUGGAUGGUAAGGUCGAUGGUGACAAAGGCUCAAGCAGAAAGCUCGGUCCAUUUCAAAAUUACAAUAGCAAGUAGCAGAAAUCAUGCGUGAGAUGUUUUGAAACUUUGACGGUAAGUGAUUUAUGUGCUAAAUUCUUUAUGUUUCUGGUCUUUUGCUUAGCUCAUUAAUGAGGAAUGAAGCCUGAAAUGAAGGAUGCCUUUCUUAUUUGCCCCACCAAGAUCCUUGGGUAGUGGCAUGGGAGGACAUGCGCCCUUUCCACGUCUACGUCAGGGUCCCACAGGUGAGAUAUCUUGUGGGGACUUAGAAUGGAGAAACUCACCAUCUGCUUGAUCCCUUGGAUCUACUGCAAGGGUCCAAAAUCUGACGGUGAUCCAGCUCUAAAUGUCGAGUUCAUUGCUAGGAAUUGCAGCAUUUCAAGGAGGAAAGUGUUGUAUGCUCGCAUCAAUGUUUCGCAAGGUCAAUCAAGGUUCAUGUAGAUCAAAUAUAAUCUUCAAACGGUGUCCAAUCCUGAAAUGUAAAUGACGAGUGUAAUACAAAAUCCAAAAAUGUAAAUGAU